GGGUAUAGCUUCAUGGUAGAGCAUAUGCUUAGUAUGUAUGAAGUCCUGGGUUCAAUCCUCAGUACCUCCA
rnacentral:tRNA from 1 species